GAUGAACGCUGGCGGCGUGCCUAAUACAUGCAAGUCGAGCGAACAGACGAGGAGCUUGCUCCUCUGACGUUAGCGGCGGACGGGUGAGUAACACGUGGAUAACCUACCUAUAAGACUGGGAAAACUUCGGGAAACCGGAGCUAAUACCGGAUAAUAUAUUGAACCGCAUGGUUCAAUAGUGAAAGACGGUUUUGCUGUCACUUAUAGAUGGAUCCGCGCCGCAUUAGCUAGUUGGUAAGGUAACGGCUUACCAAGGCAACGAUGCGUAGCCGACCUGAGAGGGUGAUCGGCCACACUAGAACUGAGACACGGUCCAGACUCCUACGGGAGGCAGCAGUAGGGAAUCUUCCGCAAUGGGCGAAAGCCUGACGGAGCAACGCCGCGUGAGUGAUGAAGGUCUUCGGAUCGUAAAACUCUGUUAUUAGGGAAGAACAAAUGUGUAAGUAACUAUGCACGUCUUGACGGUACCUAAUCAGAAAGCCACGGCUAACUACGUG
rnacentral:rRNA from 1 species